UGCCUCUUUCCCUUCAAUGCAAGAUACAGGGCGUCUGCUGGCACGGGAGGGCACAGAGAGGCGAGUGACACGCCCUCAUCCUUUUCCAGGGAAGCUGGUGCGAUUCUGAGCGGCAGGACUGCCAACGUCAGUGCUGCCAGCGUGUGCACCGUCAUUUCCGGCCAGCUGUGCUGGUCUGGAUGCGGAGGUGGAGGACAGAGACCGAGGGCUGGGCAGUGGCGAAUUGCGACUUCAAGUUGUCAGAUGGGCGUCCAGGGCCUUACCCCAGUCGGAGCUGGGCUGGCAGCCAGGGAGUUGCAUUCUCGCGGGACUCCGAGUCGGUCCGGGUUGGUGUUAGUGGCGCACUCCGCUGUCAGGAUCUAGGCUCGCAUCCCCUGGAUCUGAGCUUGCCUCCUCAGGUUUCUGAGCAUCGAGGAUGAGUACAGAGAAGUACAUCUUGCUAUUAGGAGUCAACACAGACCUCUAAGAAAUUCUGUUGCUCAAGAUUUGGAAGGCAUCCAGCUGCCAAAGGCUCUGGCCUUGGUGCUGCACUUUGAUGCCCUGAGGCACGGGUUUUCUGACCCAAAUAUGAGACACAAGGCUCAGGGAGUUAUCGUGGUCAGGAAAUUUAUUUGACCUCCGAUCCCCACCCUAGACACUGGUAUCCACCUGAUUUUGACUAUGUGACAGGGUCAGGUUUGAAGGUGAGCCCGGGAGGCAGACCUGUCAUAGACUCGAUUAGAGUUGGAAGUAUCACCACCCCCGCCUCUGAGCCAGAAUAGGCAACAGACAUAUCACAGGCUUGGCACACGUCCUGUAUUCCCAUUCCCAGCAGCCAGCUAACACCCUAUGCUCAUACCCUCUGUGUUCUGCAGACGGACCCAAGAGGCUCCAUCACCCUGGCCACGUCAGUGGGUCAGUGGUCCAGCUUCAGCCUUACCCUCACACCAACCACCUGGGAUUCCUUCUAUCAGCAUGAGAUGCACUGAGAUUCCUUCUAUCAGCAUGAUUGGAAAAAAAAAUGAUGCCAACAUAACCCCAGUUUCUAUAGGCCAGCAGACAACAUGCCCAUCCCUGCCUCUGGGAGUCACGUGGAGGUCGUGCAAGGGAGAUACCCUACAGUCAGGACUGCUCGGGCUAGGGAAACUGAGGUGGCCAUCCUCAGACCUGCUCCUCAGUCAUUGCUUACCUCUGGGACUUCUGGAGUGUCCUGGACAGCUCUGACUCAUGGGUACCUUCCCACAGAGCUACGGGAUGAAGACAUGAUGGAUAGAUGGAUGGAUGGAUGGAUGGAUGGAUGGGGAAGGUAGGCUGAAUAUGUGAACACUCAGUGGGCAUGGGGACCUGACCAGCCUAACCAGACAGAUCCCUUUAGAGCCCUAGCUCUCCAUCCAUGUGUCCCCCAGACCCAGCUCUGACUGUCAUCACCACUACCCGGUUACUAAGCCUGUGGGAUUAUCACUCUGACACACCAGGCCCUUCAUGUGCUGGGUCAGUUAUGUGCCACCUCCAUCACCAUCCUCUCUCUCCACUUCCCUUCCCACAGCCUCUCCCACCCCACCAUUACUGUCAUCAUGCUAGGCUCUUGGCAAAAAGUCCCUGUGGUCAUCUUGCUUUUCUGCAAUCCUGUGUUUCCAAAUUACCAAACUGAUAUUUUACAAAUGAAAAUAAAAGGCAUCUGAUGGGUUCAUCUAGGGUUUGGUGUCUACAGUUCUGAUCUCAGCCCACUCCUCUUUGUACUCCCAUCCAACCUGGGCUGCA